UACGUAGGGACCAAGCGUUGUUCGGAUUUACUGGGCGUAAAGGGCGCGUAGGCGGCAAUUCAAGUCAUCUGUGAAAUCUCCGGGCUUAACUCGGAAUGGUCAGGUGAUACUGCUUUGCUAGAGUGCAGAAGGGGCAGUCGGAAUUCUUGGUGUAGCGGUGAAGUGCGUAGAUAUCAAGAGGAACACCUGAGGUGAAGACGGGUUGCUGGGCUGACACUGACGCUGAGGCGCGAAAGCUAGGGGAGCAAACGGG
rnacentral:rRNA from 1 species